rnacentral:misc_RNA from 1 species
GAUGAAGAACUCAGCGAAAUGCGAUAAGUAAUGUGAAUUGCAGAAUUCAGUGAAUCAUCGAAUCUUUGAACGCACAUUGCGCCCGCCAGCACUCUGGCGGGCAUGCCUGUUCGAGCGUCAUUUCAACCAUCAAGCCCCCAGGGGCUUGUGCUGGGGCCCUGCGGCUGCCCGCAGGCCCUGAAAACCAGUGGCGGGCUCGCUAGUCACACCGAGCGCAGUAGCACAUCUCGCUCAGGGCGUGCGGCGGGCUCCUGCCGUGAAACCCCCCACUGUAACCCCAAAGGUUGACCUCGGAUCAGGUAGGAAUACCCGCUGAACUUAAGCAUAUCAAUAAGCGGAGGA